rnacentral:misc_RNA from 1 species
AACACUGUUAACCUGCGGUACCUGCGGAAGGAUCAUUACCGAAGUACAGGCCCUUUUACAGGGCUAAACUUCCACCCUUUGUUUACUAUUCUUUGUUGCUUUGGCGAGACGUCUUCGGACCACCGGCUCUUGGGCUGGUGAGCGCUCGCCAGAGGAAAAUCAAACCCAAACCUUUUUUAGUGUCGUCUGAGAAACAAGUUUAAUUAUUAAAACUUUUAGCAACGGAUCUCAGAUCGGAAG